UACUCUCACACUCCUAAUCGCUUUGGAUUGGGAGCGGUGGACUUGGGUGCUGCUGCUUGACUGUGGCUCACCUGAAAUAUGUUAGUGCACCUCCUGAUUGGACAUAGUACGGCGUGAUAAGUGUCUUCGCCGGCUCCUCGCAAAGAGGGUGGCCGAUUGGGAGCUCUGUGCUUCAAACUGUCUUCGGACAAUCUUCUGGCG
rnacentral:misc_RNA from 1 species